GGCGGGAGCUCGCGUACGAGAUGUAAACACAAUGUCCGCCAUGUUUCUUUACCGCUAGAACAAAUUUGCAAAGUGAAACAGCCAAAGUGGAUUUUGAAAAUCUAUUGUUGGAUUUGGACAAUCAGGGCUAUUAGUAUGAGCCAGAAUAAAGCCAGGAAGAGUUGACACAAAUAGAGGAGGAGGCUGAUGCGGCUGCAGCUGAACAAGCCUUGCCUGCUGUUGCAGAAGACGAGGAGCCGGAGCACGCCGGUUUGCUCUGUUCGCCUAUAGACACUAACACAGAGUCCCUGUGCUGCAGCACAGGGAUUUCAGCGAUGCCAGUUUCUUCUAGAAUGGCUGAUUCUGGCGAGGACGGGGCAAUGUGUGUAACCUCUCACCCAGGCUUUACGCCUCAUCUGAACAGUUGGGUAAAGCCCGCCGGGAGAGACUUCUGAACAUAGAUCUCCAUUAUUGAAACAUAACAACAUUGGCGACGAGGAUGGCUGGAUGCUGCCUACCACCCCCUCCCCUUCCUAGCCCUGCCGGGAGAACCACCGGUGCCGUGGCCCCUCUGGAUUACCUUGUUCCAAACGUUUAUCACCGCUGCCGGCCUGGACACUGUUCCGGAGUGGAGGUACCGUGCACUGCUGCUGCACUGUCUGGGAGCGGAGGGACAGCGCGUGUUGGGAACUCUUGGCCCCGCGCCUACUUUCGCAAAGGCCGUGGAGCUCAUGAAAGCACAUUACCCCGCUCCUAAAGGUGUUCUGCUCCGUCGCGUCAUAUUCCGACGCAGGCGCCAACGUCCAUGGGAGUCAGUGGAGAGGUUCGCGGCUGAAUUAGGGAUGCUGGCUACCAUGUGCAAGUACGGGGCGUUACAGGACGAAAUGAUAAGGGACCAACUGAUACUGCACACAAAAAAUGAAUUAAUUAGGCAAAGGCUGUUACUGGAAAAUAAUGAUCUAACAUUAACAGCAGCUCUUAAUCUAGCAGUUCAGGUUGAAUCUAAAUCUGGUUCAUGGUCGUUGUCUGAAUAUAAUGAGAUUGCGAUUGUUUAUGUCAUUUUAAUGGUCUUUUGUAUUUUCGUAGCAUGCGUAACAUUUCUGAUCGGUCCUAUGUUAAAAAGUUUAAUCUGAAACGAUUGACGUGGUCAAAAGUCCAACCACAGCGAUGGCAACGGUUAUCACAUCUCUCGGCGUGGACCUUGACCUGAGAGCAGUAACUAGGCCAUAAUCACAAAAGACACAAAUAGGCUACCCUUUGUUCGCAAAUCUAUGUAGCGCUAUCACCAAAUGACUAUCGGCCCAUAGGCCUAUAUCUGCUGUGCCAGUGCAUUGAGAAAGUCAAAGACUUUCUCAAAAUUUCCUUCCACUAAAUGAGGACAAAACCGAGAUGGUACUAAAAUGAAAACCUCCCUGAGGAUUUACUUGCCCCAACUCUGACCACUUUUAAAAACAGGACUGAAGACUUAUAUGUUUGCUUUUAUUUAGUUUGCCUUUGUUUUCUUUUAUUGAUCCAUUUUAUUUAAUUUCAUGUUAUUGUAUGACAAUGUUUUUAUGUGAAGCACUUUGAUUCUGCCUCGUGUAUAAGAAGGGCUAUAUGAAUAAAGUUGCCUUGCCUUGCCUUUGUCCAUGACAGAGGAGCUCACCGCCCAGUUCCACGCGUCAUUUUCUCUAAACUGGACCACCGCCAGGGUACCUCCAACUUAACUACGAACCUGCCCCUGCCCAGAAACCCGCUCGAUACGGGCCCUGGCCAGAACCACCUGCGCUCCGGUUUGUACCUUGAAUGGUGAGGCCCUGUUGACCGUGAGCUCCCUCCAAGGACCACCACAGGACCUGCCCCCUCCCCACAGGACCCGCCCC
ensembl:lncRNA